rfam:Callithrix jacchus chromosome 4, whole genome shotgun sequence
AAGUGUUACAGCUCUUUAAGAAUUUCUCUAGCAGGCUUUCCAGUUUUUAACCAGAAAACCGUU